UUCCACCGCCAUACCACCCUGAACGCGCCCCAUCUCGUCUGAUCCUGGAAGCUAAGCAGGCUCGGGCCUGCUUAGUACUUGGAUGGGAGACCACAUGGGAAUACCGGGUGCUGUAGGCU
rnacentral:rRNA from 1 species